GGCACGUCUGACCCUCUGUCCCCGUCUCCCUUAGAGGAAUCGUGGGUCCCUCUGUUCUUGUGGUGUCACCAGUGGAGGCCGUCCUUGACCUCCCCCUGGGAGCACGGUGUGUCCCCUUGCCAUGCAGAGCACACUGUGAAGUCUUUUAAUGAGGAGAGAAAAGCCCCUUAAAGGUUGAUAUUCUGCAGACAGGUGAGCACGUGGCCUCGUGGACACAGGAAAGAAGAGGCGUUUCCUGUGUUCUGGCAGCCUCGAGCUUCUCUGUGAGUGCAUGCCCAGGCCUGCCUGAGUGCUGAUGAACCAGCCGGCACAGCAGAGCACUCCGGGUCUGACGGAGCUGCUCUCCCUGCAGCAGGCAGCUGGGCAGGGCACCGUGGUCCUUUGCCAUUUUUCCAGGGCUGGGGGGUGUCAGGGUGUCUGCGUUGGGGGGUGCAGGGGGUGAGCAGAGCCAGCAGCUGCACCUGAGCCUCCCCUUGUGAGCAGCUCGUGGCUGUGGCCCAGGGUACCCUGGAUCCUCGGUGGACGACCCAGAGGGUGGGGUCCUCUUGGUCGUCUUCUACAGGGAGCGUGGGGGCUGAGUGUUCCUGCCUGGGUGCCAGGCUCAGCUCGUUUGAAAGGUGCCUGGGGUUGGGAACACGAAGCCACAUCCUUCCCAGUUAGGCCCAGCCUCCCAGGGUGAGGGCAGCAAGUCACCCAGGUGCCGAGGGAAGAGACCGAGGGCACAAGCUGUCCCAGUGUAACAAAAUAUAUAAAAUAACAAGAGUUAUACUAGGUAUAGACCAUAUGUGUCACUAAUCAUUAGUUUGUAGCAAUUGCUCUUUAUUCCAAUAUUAUAAUAAUCCUCGCUCUAUAAUCAUAAUAUAGGAAAAACCAGGCCAUACCGAGAUAGGAGCUGAGGGGACAUAGUGAGAAGUGACUGGAAGACAAGAGUGCGAGCCUUCCAUUACGCCCGGACAGGGCCACCAGAGGGCUCCUUGGUCUAGCAGUAACGCCAGCGCCUGGGAAGGCACCCGUGACCUAAGCAGACCGUGGUCUAGCGGUAGCGUCAGUGUCAAGGAAAAGCACUCGCUACUUAGCAGACUGGGAAGGGGAGUCUCCCUUUCCCCGGGGGAGUUUAGAGAAGACUCUACUCCUCCACCUCUUGUGGACGGUCAGGCCUGCCCACAGUUAUCCGAAGGCCUAACCGUCUCCCUGUGAUGCCGUGCUUCAGCAGUCACACUCCUAGUCCGCCUUCACGUUCCAUCCUGUACACCUGGCUUUGCCUUUUAGAUAACAGUAGCAAAAUUAGUGAAAGUACUAAAAGUCUCUGAUAAGCAGAAAUAAUGACGUAAGCUGUCUCUCUCUCUCCCUCCCUCUCUCUGCCUCGGCUGCCAGGCAGGGAAGGGUCCCCUGUCCAGUGGACACGUGACCCACGUGACCUUACCUAUCACUGGAGAUGGCUCACACUCCUUAUCCUGCCCCCUUGUCUUGUAUCCAAUAAAUAACAGCGCAGCCUGGCAUUCGGGGCCACUACCGGUCUCCACAUCUUGGUGGUAGUGGUCCCCCAGGCCCAGCUGUCUUUUUUA
rnacentral:lncRNA from 1 species